rnacentral:rRNA from 1 species
UCCUGGCUCAGAUUGAACGCUGCGGCAUGCUUUACACAUGCAAGUCGAACGGCAGCACGGGGCUUCGGCCUGGUGGCGAGUGGCGAACGGGUGAGUAAUACAUCGGAACGUACCCAGAAGUGGGGGAUAACGCAGCGAAAGUUGCGCUAAUACCGCAUACGUUCUACGGAAGAAAUGGGGGACCUUCGGGCCUCAUGCUUUUGGAGCGGCCGAUGUCUGAUUAGCUAGUUGGUGGGGUAAAGGCUCACCAAGGCGACGAUCAGUAGCUGGUCUGAGAGGACGACCAGCCACACUGGAACUGAGACACGGUCCAGACUCCUACGGGAGGCAGCAGUGGGGAAUUUUGGACAAUGGGCGCAAGCCUGAUCCAGCAAUGCCGCGUGAGUGAAGAAGGCCUUCGGGUUGUAAAGCUCUUUUGUCAGGGAAGAAACGGCUCCGGCUAAUAUCUGGGGCUAAUGACGGUACCUGAGGAAUAAGCACCGGCUAACUACGUG